GGAUGUGAGGGUGAUCUGGCUGCAAUAUCUGUCACCCCAUUAGGUUGAUUCAGCUCAUCUGGCUGGCUGAAGGAAGGCAGGUGUCCCCUUCUUCCUUCAUCGCUCCCUGUGUGUCCCUCCUAAAGCUGCACGCUUGGUUGAAGAGGACAGCCCUAAAUAGGGACAGACCACUCCUAGGGAGGGUAUAUGAGGUAGCUGUGUUCCCCGGCUAGAACCUUCAAGGAAAGAAAAAAUAAUAGCCAGCUAUUAUCAACUCACCUGACUCACUGUG
ensembl:misc_RNA 7SK 7SK RNA